UACGGGGGGAGCAAGCGUUGUUCGGAUUUACUGGGCGUAAAGGGCGCGUAGGCGGUCAGUGCAAGUCAGUUGUGAAAUCUCCGGGCUUAACUCGGAAAGGUCAACUGAUACUGCUCGACUAGAGUGCGGAAGGGGCAACUGGAAUUCUUGGUGUAGCGGUGAAAUGCGUAGAUAUCAAGAGGAACACCUGCGGCGAAGGCGGGUUGCUGGGCCGACACUGACGCUGAUGCGCGAAAGCCAGGGAGCGAACGGG
rnacentral:rRNA from 1 species